UUUUUCUUUCAGGGUCAACAC
rnacentral:siRNA from 1 species